ACGUAGGGCAUGUGGGACUAUGGCAGAGAAGCGGGACAGCAGAUUUGUGUAGUUUCUAUAUUGUAUUCAGUUUUUUUUACAUUUCUGCUUAAAUUAAUAGAUCCUAUAUAAAAAGUGGACUUGACCCUAUCUGGAUAAGAAGGGGAACAGGGGAAGAGUCAGGCCUCGCAGAGAAGACACUAAAUUACCAGCAAACCUUUCAGUAGAUGUCAGUCGAUUGUCCUUCAUACAAGGUGUCUGGAGACAAACACCCAUUCACACUCACAUCCACGGGCAGAGCCUGUCUGUGGAUUGUGGGAGGAAGCCGGAGGACCCGGAGAGAGUCAGACGCAAGGAGAACAUGCAGACUCCACAUAGAAAGGUCAAAGGGUAAGGCCACUGGGUGGAGUCAAACCCUGGAUCGUCCUGCUGUGAGGUGACGGUGCUAACCAUCACCCAACCGUGCUGCCCCCCCCCCCCCCCCCACCACCAGAUGUAAUGACUUAUGAUAUUAAUGUCUACAUUUUGAAGAAUGUCCCACUCGGCCAUGCCAGCCAAACACCAUUAAUGUCAUUAUUUAGACUGAUUUUCUGCUAUGAUGUCAUAGCGUUCAUGUUAAAAAUUCUAUGACAGGUUUGAUUAAUUGCAUUUGCUGUUUCAAUAAUACAUAAUCAUAUCUUUCGACCAUGAGCACUGCUUUUGUUUACCUACUGCCACAACGCAGGCAGCUCUCACAUUACAUUGUCAUCAUUGGCCUAAAUAACUUCAACACGUGCUGAAUGAUUUCUCAGCUUUAUAAG
ensembl:lncRNA